ACGCUGGCGGCAGGCCUAACACAUGCAAGUCGAGCGGAAACGACACCAUCGAUUCUUCGGAUGCGUUAAUGGGCGUCGAGCGGCGGACGGGUGAGUAAUGCCUAGGAAAUUGCCUUGAUGUGGGGGAUAACCAUUGGAAACGAUGGCUAAUACCGCAUAAUGCCUACGGGCCAAAGAGGGGGAYCUUCGGGCCUCUCGCGUCAAGAUAUGCCUAGGUGGGAUUAGCUAGUUGGUGAGGUAAUGGCUCACCAAGGCGACGAUCCCUAGCUGGUCUGAGAGGAUGAUCAGCCACACUGGAACUGAGACACGGUCCAGACUCCUACGGGAGGCAGCAGUGGGGAAUAUUGCACAAUGGGCGAAAGCCUGAUGCAGCCAUGCCGCGUGUAUGAAGAAGGCCUUCGGGUUGUAAAGUACUUUCAGUUGUGAGGAAGGGUGUGUAGUUAAUAGCUGCRYAUCUUGACGUUAGCAACAGAAGAAGCACCGGCUAACUCCGUGCCAGCAGCCGCGGUAAUACGGAGGGUGCGAGCGUUAAUCGGAAUUACUGGGCGUAAAGCGCAUGCAGGUGGUUCAUUAAGUCAGAUGUGAAAGCCCGGGGCUCAACCUCGGAACUGCAUUUGAAACUGGUGAACUAGAGUGCUGUAGAGGGGGGUAGAAUUUCAGGUGUAGCGGUGAAAUGCGUAGAGAUCUGAAGGAAUACCAGUGGCGAAGGCGGCCCCCUGGACA
rnacentral:rRNA from 1 species